GCCCGGUUAGCUCAAUCGGUAGAGCGUGAGACUCUUAAUCUCAAGGUUGCGGGUGAGUAGCAUGUUCGAAAAUACGAGUGUAGCUUCAAAAUACUAACAAUCUUGAAUAGGUUCGACCCCCGCAUCGGGCU